rnacentral:rRNA from 1 species
CGACUAAGCGUACACGGUGGAUGCCCUGGCAGUCAGAGGCGAUGAAGGACGUGCUAAUCUGCGAUAAGCGUCGGUAAGGUGAUAUGAACCGUUAUAACCGGCGAUUUCCGAAUGGGGAAACCCAGUGUGAUUCGUCACACUAUCAUUAACUGAAUCCAUAGGUUAAUGAGGCGAACCGGGGGAACUGAAACAUCUAAGUACCCCGAGGAAAAGAAAUCAACCGAGAUUCCCCCAGUAGCGGCGAGCGAACGGGGAGCAGCCCAGAGCCUGAAUCAGUGUGUGUGUUAGUGGAAGCGUCUGGAAAGGCGUGCGAUACAGGGUGACAGCCCCGUACACAAAAAUGCACAUACUGUGAGCUCGAUGAGUAGGGCGGGACACGUGGUAUCCUGUCUGAAUAUGGGGGGACCAUCCUCCAAGGCUAAAUACUCCUGACUGACCGAUAGUGAACCAGUACCGUGAGGGAAAGGCGAAAAGAACCCCGGCGAGGGGAGUGAAAAAGAACCUGAAACCGUGUACGUACAAGCAGUGGGAGCACGCUUAGGCGUGUGACUGCGUACCUUUUGUAUAAUGGGUCAGCGACUUAUAUUCUGUAGCAAGGUUAACCGAAUAGGGGAGCCGAAGGGAAACCGAGUCUUAACUGGGCGUUAAGUUGCAGGGUAUAGACCCGAAACCCGGUGAUCUAGCCAUGGGCAGGUUGAAGGUUGGGUAACACUAACUGGAGGACCGAACCGACUAAUGUUGAAAAAUUAGCGGAUGACUUGUGGCUGGGGGUGAAAGGCCAAUCAAACCGGGAGAUAGCUGGUUCUCCCCGAAAGCUAUUUAGGUAGCGCCUCGUGAAUUCAUCUCCGGGGGUAGAGCACUGUUUCGGCAAGGGGGUCAUCCCGACUUACCAACCCGAUGCAAACUGCGAAUACCGGAGAAUGUUAUUACGGGAGACACACGGCGGGUGCUAACGUCCGUCGUGAAGAGGGAAACAACCCAGACCGCCAGCUAAGGUCCCAAAGUCAUGGUUAAGUGGGAAACGAUGUGGGAAGGCCCAGACAGCCAGGAUGUUGGCUUAGAAGCAGCCAUCAUUUAAAGAAAGCGUAAUAGCUCACUGGUCGAGUCGGCCUGCGCGGAAGAUGUAACGGGGCUAAACCAUGCACCGAAGCUGCGGCAGCGACGCUUAUGCGUUGUUGGGUAGGGGAGCGUUCUGUAAGCCUGUGAAGGUGUGCUGUGAGGUAUGCUGGAGGUAUCAGAAGUGCGAAUGCUGACAUAAGUAACGAUAAAGCGGGUGAAAAGCCCGCUCGCCGGAAGACCAAGGGUUCCUGUCCAACGUUAAUCGGGGCAGGGUGAGUCGACCCCUAAGGCGAGGCCGAAAGGCGUAGUCGAUGGGAAACAGGUUAAUAUUCCUGUACUUGGUGUUACUGCGAAGGGGGGACGGAGAAGGCUAUGUUGGCCGGGCGACGGUUGUCCCGGUUUAAGCGUGUAGGCUGGUUUUCCAGGCAAAUCCGGAAAAUCAAGGCCGAGGCGUGAUGACGAGGCACUACGGUGCUGAAGCAACAAAUGCCCUGCUUCCAGGAAAAGCCUCUAAGCAUCAGGUAACAUCAAAUCGUACCCCAAACCGACACAGGUGGUCAGGUAGAGAAUACCAAGGCGCUUGAGAGAACUCGGGUGAAGGAACUAGGCAAAAUGGUGCCGUAACUUCGGGAGAAGGCACGCUGAUACGUAGGUGAAGCGACUUGCUCGUGGAGCUGAAAUCAGUCGAAGAUACCAGCUGGCUGCAACUGUUUAUUAAAAACACAGCACUGUGCAAACACGAAAGUGGACGUAUACGGUGUGACGCCUGCCCGGUGCCGGAAGGUUAAUUGAUGGGGUUAGCGCAAGCGAAGCUCUUGAUCGAAGCCCCGGUAAACGGCGGCCGUAACUAUAACGGUCCUAAGGUAGCGAAAUUCCUUGUCGGGUAAGUUCCGACCUGCACGAAUGGCGUAAUGAUGGCCAGGCUGUCUCCACCCGAGACUCAGUGAAAUUGAACUCGCUGUGAAGAUGCAGUGUACCCGCGGCAAGACGGAAAGACCCCGUGAACCUUUACUAUAGCUUGACACUGAACAUUGAGCCUUGAUGUGUAGGAUAGGUGGGAGGCUUUGAAGUGUGGACGCCAGUCUGCAUGGAGCCGACCUUGAAAUACCACCCUUUAAUGUUUGAUGUUCUAACGUGGACCCGUGAUCCGGGUUGCGGACAGUGUCUGGUGGGUAGUUUGACUGGGGCGGUCUCCUCCUAAAGAGUAACGGAGGAGCACGAAGGUUGGCUAAUCCUGGUCGGACAUCAGGAGGUUAGUGCAAUGGCAUAAGCCAGCUUGACUGCGAGCGUGACGGCGCGAGCAGGUGCGAAAGCAGGUCAUAGUGAUCCGGUGGUUCUGAAUGGAAGGGCCAUCGCUCAACGGAUAAAAGGUACUCCGGGGAUAACAGGCUGAUACCGCCCAAGAGUUCAUAUCGACGGCGGUGUUUGGCACCUCGAUGUCGGCUCAUCACAUCCUGGGGCUGAAGUAGGUCCCAAGGGUAUGGCUGUUCGCCAUUUAAAGUGGUACGCGAGCUGGGUUUAGAACGUCGUGAGACAGUUCGGUCCCUAUCUGCCGUGGGCGCUGGAGAACUGAGGGGGGCUGCUCCUAGUACGAGAGGACCGGAGUGGACGCAUCACUGGUGUUCGGGUUGUCAUGCCAAUGGCACUGCCCGGUAGCUAAAUGCGGAAGAGAUAAGUGCUGAAAGCAUCUAAGCACGAAACUUGCCCCGAGAUGAGUUCUCCCUGACCCUUUAAGGGUCCUGAAGGAACGUUGAAGACGACGACGUUGAUAGGCCGGGUGUGUAAGCGCAGCGAUGCGUUGAGCUAACCGGUACUAAUGAACCGUGAGGCUUAACCUUACAACGCCGAAG